UACGUAGGGGGCAAGCGUUGUCCGGAUUUAUUGGGCGUAAAGAGCGUGUAGGCGGCCAGGUAGGUCUGCUGUGAAAACUCGAGGCUCAACCUCGAGACGCCGGCGGAAACCAUCUGGCUAGAGUCCGGAAGAGGAGAGUGGAAUUCCUGGUGUAGCGGUGAAAUGCGCAGAUAUCAGGAAGAACACCUAUGGCGAAAGCAGCUCUCUGGGACGGUACUGACGCUGAGACGCGAAAGCGUGGGGAGCGAACAGG
rnacentral:rRNA from 1 species